rnacentral:rRNA from 1 species
CUUAGAAGCAGCCACUCAUUUAAAGAGUGCGUAAUAGCUCACUAGUCGAGAGAUCCUGCGCCGAAAAUGUCCGGGGCUCAAACUUACCACCGAAGCUACGGGCUCAAGUUUACUUGAGCGGUAGAGGAGCGUCGUAAUCGGGCUGAAGUCGUACCGUAAGGAGCGGUGGACUGAUUACGAGUGAGAAUGUUGGCAUUAGUAGCGAGAUGUAAGUGAGAAUCUUACAGGCCGAAAAUCUAAGGUUUCCUGGGGAAGGCUCGUCCGCCCAGGGUUAGUCGGGACCUAAGCCGAGGCCGAAAGGCGUAGGUGAUGGACAAUUGGUUGAUAUUCCAAUACCACUAUUAUCGUUAUUAUCGAUGGUGUGACGGAGAAGGAUAGGAUGUGCUAGCGAUUGGAAAUGCUAGUCUAAGCAUUUAGGGAGUUAAAGUAGGCAAAUCCGCUUUAACAAUUCUGAGGUGUGAUGGGGAAGGUCAUUUUGACUGAAGUAUCUGAUUCCAUGCUUCCAAGAAAAGCAUCUAGAGAGAGAAGUAGUGCCCGUACCGCAAACCGACACAGGUAGAUGAGGAGAGAAUCCUAAGGCCAUCGGAAGAAUUGCAGUUAAGGAACUAGGCAAAUUGACCCCGUAAGUUCGCGAGAAGGGGUGCCUGUGAGAGCAGGCCGCAGAGAAUAGGCCCAAGCAACUGUUUAGCAAAAACACAGGUCUCUGCUAAAGCGUAAGCUGAUGUAUAGGGGCUGACGCCUGCCCGGUGCUGGAAGGUUAAGGGGAACACUUAGCGCAAGCGAAGGUGUGAACUUAAGCCCCAGUAAACGGCGGCCGUAACUAUAACGGUCCUAAGGUAGCGAAAUUCCUUGUCAGGUAAGUUCUGACCCGCACGAAUGGCGUAAUGACUUGGGCACUGUCUCAACUGCAAAUCCGGCGAAGUUGUAGUGCGAGUGAAGAUGCUCGCUACCCGCGAUUGGACGGAAAGACCCCGUAGAGCUUUACUGUAGCUUAGCAUUGAGUUUCGAUAUUGUCUGUACAGGAUAGGUGGGAGACUGAGAAGCUAGGGCGUCAGCCUUAGUGGAGUCAACCUUGGGAUACCACCCUGACAGUAUUGGGAUUCUAACCGGACGCCAUGAAUCUGGUGACGGGACAUUGUUAGGUGGGCAGUUUGACUGGGGCGGUCGCCUCCUAAAAAGUAACGGAGGCGCCCAAAGGUUCCCUCAGAACGGUCGGAAAUCGUUCGAAGAGUGCAAAGGCAGAAGGGAGCCUGACUGCGACACCCACAAGUGGAGCAGGGACGAAAGUCGGGCUUAGUGAUCCGGUGGUACCUCGUGGGAGGGCCAUCGCUCAACGGAUAAAAGCUACCUCGGGGAUAACAGGCUGAUCUCCCCCAAGAGUCCACAUCGACGGGGAGGUUUGGCACCUCGAUGUCGGCUCGUCGCAUCCUGGGGCUGUAGUAGGUCCCAAGGGUUGGGCUGUUCGCCCAUUAAAGCGGCACGCGAGCUGGGUUCAGAACGUCGUGAGACAGUUCGGUCCCUAUCCGUCGCGGGCGUAGGAAAUUUGAGAGGAGCUGUCCUUAGUACGAGAGGACCGGGAUGGACUGACCUCUGGUGCACCAGUUGUUCCGCCAGGAGCAUAGCUGGGUAGCUAAGUCGGGAAGGGAUAAACGCUGAAAGCAUCUAAGCGUGAAGCCCCCCUCAAGAUGAGAUUUCCCAUAGCAUAAGCUAGUAAGACCCCUUGA